CAGCACCUUUCGAGCCAGGGAUUCUGAUGCUCCCAACGCUGUAAAGACCUUUCAAGCGUUGGGGUUCUGGGGAAUUAGUGGAAAGAGAAUUAUUGCAUUUUGCAGGCUUAAGAAAGCAUCCAGUGAUGAAGGUGAUGAGUGCCCUCCUGAUUCCAAUGUUGACGUGAAAGGCUGAAAGCUACAUAAUAAGCUUGUCAUGUCUUUAAGCUCGUCAGUCUAACUCUUCUAGUAAUUAUUGAAAAUGUAGUGUCAUUUACUUGUGUUAUUAUGAAGACAUGAAAAAGGUGUUGUGAUGUAUCUUCUACUCUCCUAGUUCUUUUAUUAAGAAUGUAGGAUUAUUUGUGUUAUUACCAAGACAAGGAGAAAGGUGGUUUAAUGUUUUGAUUCUGGUACGUUUGAUGAUGAAGCUUUUAUCAGAGUAACUUGGUGUUGAGGAA